GCAGAGAUGUCUGAGCGGCCUAAGGAGCACGACUGGAAAUCGUGUGUACCUCGUAAGGGUACCGAGGGUUCAAAUCCCUCUCUCUGCGCCA
rnacentral:tRNA from 1 species